AGAGAGAGAGAGAGAGAGAGAGAGAAUCUGUGUUUGUACCCACUUUUCUAUUAAAACAUCAGUAGUAUAAGAUUAACACUGGACCGCAUUUGAGAGAUAAGUCAAACCACUGAGCUGUUGAUCGGAAUCCAUCCCAUUGAUCCUUUGGGCUGCAUUGAUAUCGCUUGUGAACUCCCAUCAGGAAGAACACAUCCUGUCUCACCAGCCAUUUUUAUUAACUCCGCAUUCUCAGAGGAGCCCUUACGAGCUCCCUUGAAUUCCAUGCUUCAUGUAGAAGUGUCUCACUGGGUGUAAUUAUCCAGGAAGCCCUCCAUGGCAAGCAAGAAUAUGUGUGAAUGUUCCACCCCGUCUCUGAUUUAAGUCCUCAGAGAGUAAGGGAAACAUUUUUCUUUAAUCCCGGUGGAAUAAAUUUGGGACCAGCAUGAGUGAGUGGUACCAAGUACUCUUUGUGAGCUGAGAAUUUUUUUUUUCAGAUAGAAAUCUUCAAAGGGAACCAGUUCUCACUAGUUCAUGGGCAGUGCUAACUCCCACUGUGAAGAACAAUCUAAGCCAGGAGCUGUGGGAUUCCUGCGGGAGUGGGAUGGAGUCUCUGACGAAGACCUGGGAUCCAGAGUUUAAGGCACUAUUGUCAGCACUCACUGCCCAUGUGAGUUUAAGUAGAACGACUCAUGUUAUUGAAAAAUUUCUAGCACACACAUUUUUAAAAAAGGCUAGUGAGGGCGGCACACCUCUAUGAUUCGAGAUGACAUCCAAGAAUUAUGAGUUCAAGGCAGCUUAUGAUACAAAGUGAGAUCUUGUCUCAAAAAAAAAUUAAAAAGGAAAAGCAGCAGGUGAAAUAAAAGCUAAUUUCACCAAAUAACUAUACAAAAUUAUUAAUCAGAUGUUUCCUUUUCCUAAUCCCAGGACUUCACAGUUAAAUGUGUGUUCAGCAUAUCCCAAGUGUUUCCCCCGCCGCCUGUAGCUAACUCAUGGGAAGACAUAGGAAGGGGGGUUUCACGGGGAUCCAAGACAUCACUUCUUCCAGAAUAUCAGGGAGGACAUUUUGAAAGUACAAGAGAAGGUUUGCAAGAUGGCUCAGCCUAUAAAAGUGCUCACCUCAAAGCCUCAGGACCUGAAUCCAAUCUCUGGGUCCCACAUGGGGAAAGGAGAGAUCUGGUUCCCAAAAGUUGUCCUUUAACCUCACGUGAGCCCCUAUACUUACUUGCACGUACACAAAUUAAUAAAUGUCAUUAAAAAGACUAAAGGAGGGAUUGGGGAUUUAGUUCAGUGGUAGAACGCUAAGGCCCUGGGUUCAGUCCCCAGCUCCAAAAAAAAAAAAAAAAAAAAAAAAAUAAAGACUAAAGGAAAUGAUACUUUGAGGUGAUUUCCAAGGGAUAAACCAGAUAAAAAUGGCGCCCAUGGGGUUGGGGAUUUGGCUCAGUGGUAGAGCGCUUGCCUAACAAGCACAAGGCCCUGGGCUCAGUCUCCAGCUCCGAAAAAAAGAAAAAAGAAAAAAAAAAUGGUGCCCAUGCACAGAGCAGAAUUUACUGAGGACGACUCAGGUUUUACUGAGGACGACUCAGGUAGACAGACAUAAGCUAGUCAAGACCAAUGUGGAAUUAACUAAAAGAACAGUCUUGGUUUUCUCAAGUAAGAAAAACAGCUCCAACUUGGAUCAGCCUAGGAAUAGAGGCGAAAGUCAAAGGUCACUCUAACCCCAUGAAUGUGUGACCCUAAAGGGAAAGGCAGAUUCUGAAGUCAAUAUGCAGUGACUUCCUGGGUUUAUGCUACCUCCCAGCCACUGCUCUGCAAACCAAGGGCUUUGUGUAUAUAAAGUGCUUUGUUAGCUGUCAGGCUCAUAAACAUUCACGGGUUAUGGGUUAAAGAAAGUCUGUGAAGAUGAGCAAGAGGAGGAAACCCCUCUUCUUGGAGCAUCAUUAAUGUUGAAACCUUGACCCCUCAGAGAGUGAAGGGGACACAGUAGACACCAGGGAAGUCUAUCUUCCUGUUGGGAGGCAAUCAGAUUCUUUUAUUAAAAUAUUUAUUGCCCACUCUUAAAGCCGUCUCAUUUGUUAUAUACUUAGCAUGAGCACAUGUUACAUUCCAUAAAUAGUUUUUUGUUGUUGUUCCCCCCCCCCCCCCCCCCCGGAGCUGAGGACUGAACCCAGGGCCUUGCGCUUGCUAGGCAAGCACUCUACCACUGAGCUAAAUCCCCAACCCAGUUUUUAUUUUUAUUUUACCAGGAGUAUGGGCUUCCAGUGGCUUCCUAGAUGUGAAAAUGGCUCUUCCUGGGCAUACAAUCCAGACACUGGCAGACAAUUUAAAAUUAAGUUUCCCCAGUAGUGCCAUCGCCACCAGGGAGAUUGGACACUGACUGUCCCAUAUUCUGUCCCAUAAAACAUGUUAAUUUCAGGCCAGUUUUUUAUGUCCCCACCUCCUACUGCUCCCAGUGGCUUUUCUAUUCUUCGUGUGUGUUUGUGUGCAUGUGCGUAUGUGUGUGUUUGUGUCCACUAUUGCUUCAUUUUCCAACACCUUCAUGGAUGCCCCUCAGAGCAGCUCUUUUCAGCAGCUCUAGGUUGUUCUAUGACUGUUGUCUAUGUGGGAAAAUUAUUUCCUGGGAACAGUAUAGGAAGACACAAAAGCAUUUUUUACACAAAAUUAAAAAGUUAUUUGAUGAUGCAGCCUAUAAAUCAGUGUGCUCAAACCUUUCAUGGAUACCAGACUCCUCCGUAUUCCAUGCAAACAGAAGACUUUAUUAAGGAAGCUUUCCCAUGUUAACGGUUCUCCAUCAACUCCAUGGUGACCUUCCCAGGCCAUCGAAAAGGUCAUAUUCUUCUAAUACAAAAACCAAAGCCAGAACACUUGAGUAACCUGAGCAAGGCCACACAGCUGAUACCUAACAUGACCACACCCUAGUGUUCACGCGUCUGUGACAUCUUCAUAAUUGGAAGCAAUACCUUUAAGUAAAUCUUCUCUUUAUGGCUGUGCUCCCACUUCUAAAAACAGCAACUCCUAGGAUUUCCGACCAAAGUACAUCUCAAGGUCUUUAUGUCCUAGGAACCUUGGGAGGGGAAGGGCAUGGGGACCUUGGAUUUGUUGGGCACAUGGUAGCAGGCACUGGUGUUUCUUUCUGUCCUGUUUUAAUGGACCAGGUGGGACUCUAUAGUCUUAUCACCGUUCCCCAUCACGAUGCACAAAAAAGCUUCAAACACACUGAGGCAGACUGAGUGUUACACACACCCCUCUGUCUAAUCCAGCUCCAGGCUGUUCCAGCGUGUAUCUCAGAAUCUACCCACAAAGCUCCAGGAAGGGAAAGUGCCCUCUGCUCUGCCCCGCACCCAGCACCCAGCUUCUUUGUUCCGUGUGCUACUGAGCAGUGCCUUCAUGAAAGUCCUCAGGAAAUUGCUCCUGUCUCAUUGCUUUCUCUUCUGGCCUCCUCUUUCAGUCAUCAAGCCAGAAAACCCAGGUCCUCCCAAGGACCCAGAGUUCAAACACAGGCGACCAUCUUUACAAUGAGUUCUUUUUCUGAGUAUCUUUAACCAUGUCCAGCCACAGUCUACCUUGCCUAUCCGUCCACAGCUAGACACAUCCACAGUUUAGAGUUUUAGACAAGCCAAGAAUUCCAAAGUUGCCACCCACCCAUUUGUUUCUCAGUUACCUUUUGUGAACAUCUAUUGAGUCAGAACCAGAUUGUUCUGUCUGAAUAUCAAAGUUCUUUCCUAACAGUUGACUCAACCUUUCCUCUCAUGCUUCCCACUUCGGACACCAGAGGAAGCUGGGUGCUAUGGGCUAAUUAGCAGGACAAACUCAAGUUUCUGUGGAAGAAAGGGGAAACAGUAAAUGACCAGGAGCAGUUUUCAGAGAAGUAAAAGAACAACCCUCAUGCCUAGUCCCCAUCCACCCAUCAGAUAAGCUGUAAACAGACAACUUUUUGUGAAGAUUAAGUAUUAAAAAUUUGUAAAUAUUAAAUAUUUUAGACUGUUCUUUGCUCCCAUUCUUAGUUUCACAUUGGUUGCAUGAAAAGCAACUAAAUAUUACUGAUCGAUCGAUUGAUUGAUUGAUUGAUUGAUUGAUUGAUUGAUGGGUCAAGAGGCUUCUUUGUGCACUGCAGGCUAUGGUUUUGACACGAGCAUCAUUCUCUGAGCUAGCCACACAACCACAACUGUAAAUGCAAGUAUAGAUUAAGUAACCCGAUCCAGAAGUUGAAAAUCCAAAAUGCUCUGAAGUCUAAAACUUCCCGAGUAUCAAUUGUGAUGCCAUAAGUUAAAAACCCCAUACCAGCAUACUCAUGUGAUAAGUCACACUUAAAACACACAAAAUACAAAUCUUAAGUAAUCUUUGUAUUAAGUAAAAUGACCCUCGAAUCACGUAACAAAUUAAUCUUCUGUUUAGAUUUGGACGCUAUCCUAGGAAAUCUUAUGCGCAGACCUAAAUACUUUUAAAACUGAACACCCAAGACACGUCAUGUUGCAGGCAUUCUAGAUAAGGAAUAAUUCCCAUUGGUUUCUCUGUGGCCCUCUCUGGGUUACCUGAACAUUUUCUAGGGGAACACACAACAGUGAGCUUGCAACACAUGUGUACCUCCUCCGGAUUAAGGAUGAAAAGCAACCACAUAGAUGGAGAGUGUUCUGAAGAGAUGCAAAAUCAAAGGCUGUAAAAAACCCAUUCUGUCUGUUUUUCAAAUACUGUAUGGUUUUGUCUAAGAGUUAACAUCAUUCAUGUUAAAAAGUGAGCAUUCUACAUUUACAUUUACAACAGCCAUGGCUUGCCAAGCCCCAAGCAAUUGUGUUAGCCUUGGCAUCUCACUUUAAAACGCUCUCAGACUUUCCAUUUCAUAAAGAACGAGAACCAGAAUGAUGGUUAGAACGAUGUGGGAUGAUGUCACAGGUGAGGCAGGUACAAGAUAGAAGGAGGCUUGUCAUUGGACGAGAAGGAAGGAUGGGUGGGAGAAAAGUUUGAGGGAAGGGGAGAGGACUGGAACGGAAAAGAGACAAGAGGGACAGAGAGAAGCCGUGGCGGACAGAACAUGGAGGCUGACGUUAAGAUUCCACUCUGUGUAUUUACAGGUUUUUAUGAAUGUUCUUGAGGGAUGGAUGGUAUUGGGCUUUGUAUGUUUAGGUGGGCAAUUAUAUCUUAUCAAUUGGAUCAGAGGUUAUUGUGUUGUGUGUUCUUUCAUGUGGAGAAUCGAAUUUGGGGGAGUGUGUGGGAUGCCACGGAGUUUGAAUGUGUGUUUCUGGCAUGGAAACCUGCCUUGGGAACUAGAUAGGUAGAGAGAUUGCUGACGGCUCAGAGAGAGGCCUUCGGCAGUGUGAUAUGGGAUGGAGCAAAGUGGGUGAGAGGCUUUGCUGACUGAGACUAAGAUAUCUAGCAGAUAUCUUGGGGGCACUGUGGUGACGGACCUAGAGUGGGUAAAAAGACUUUUAUUUUUUAUAUUUUUACAACAACAGAAUGAUGGUUAGAAUGAAGUUUAGAAUGGUGGUUAGAAUAGUGGCUAGAAUCUUCUCUCAGACCCCUCACAUUCUCUAGUGAUGCUGGUCCUGGAAUCGAGCAGUACAGAAGGCUAGAGUCUUUUUUUCUUCACAAUACAUAGCAAACCUUUAUUCCCUUCACUGCUAAGCAUAUAAACAAAUGUUAAGAGUCACCACAGAGGCAAACACUCUCUUGAUUGUGCCUAAAGAAAUAUAAGCACCCACAAUAGAUUUACUUAGAAGCAAGAAUACACUUCCGUUGACCAUCUCUAAAAUAUCCUGUUUUGGUGUCAUUAAGAGAAAUAAUUUCAAAUGCACAUAGCAAAAUGCUAUGAGAUAGACGCCAGGGGCCACAGGGAAGUUCCUUCAUAGGUAACUAUCCAGAACAUGGGAAAUAUCAGCCUUAUUUCCUGUACUCUGCUGGAUUUAUCAUCCUCAUCUUCUUCAAUUUGCUUUGUAACAACACGUAACCAAUCUUCAAAGGUAGUGAUAUAAAUUAGAUGGACUCUUUUGCUCUAAAAAGGUGGCUCCUUGGGGUUUCCAGAGGCCUUGGCUUUGGUCCUUAUUUACACAGAAACCGAGAAUGUAUAGUCACUGUUAUGGCUGUUGCAUGUCUCUAAAACUCAUUUGUUUAAGACACGGCCCUCAAAGUGGUGAGAUGUGGGCCUGUGGGACAGUCAGCUUUAAUACCUUAUGCUUUGCUAUGGGGCAAAGUCUGGUGGUGGACUUAGCACGGAUAGAAAAAUGAGAGAAAGCCAUUCUCUGGCUGCCCUGUGAGACCACGCAAAGAUAAAUAAAUGAACAUAAAUGGAAAGCAGGACCCUCCCCCAUCUCCUAGCACCUUCAUCUUGGACUUGCAACAUCCAGAAACAAGAGAAAUAAAUAUCUGCUGCUUAAACCCUAAUGUAUGGUAGGGUUUGUUGUUGCUCUGUGUGUGUGUGUGUGUGGGCGUAUGUGCGUGUGAGUGUGUGUCUGAGUGUGUGUGUGUGCCCGUGAGUAUGAGAACAUGUGAGUGUGUGUGUACGAGUGUGUGUGUAUGCACAUGUGUGCCCGUGUGUGUGUGUGUGUGUGUGUGUGUGUGUGUGUGUGAGACAGUGUUGGUUGAUUAGUGUUUAUUUAAAAACUUUAAUGUCUGUCAAUAUCAAGUUCCUUAUUGAUGAACAUCUGUUGAUAUCAAGUUCCUUAUUGAUGAACAUCUGUCAAUAUCAAGCUCCUUAUUGAUGUAAUCUGUCAAUAUCAAGUUCCUUAUUGAUGUAAUCUGUUGAUAUCAAGCUUCUUACUGGUGCACAUCUGUCAAUAUCAAGUUCCUUAUUGAUGUAAUCUGUUGAUAUCAAGCUUCUUACUGGUGCACAUCUGUCAAUAUCAAGUUCCUUAUUGAUGUAAUCUGUUGAUAUCAAGUUCAUUAUUGAUGAACAUCUGUUGAUAUCAAGCUCCUUAUUGAUGCACAUCUGUUAAUAUCAAGCUCCUUAUUGAUGUGUAUAGGAAUAGGACUCAUCAUUUCACAACACAGAGCUUUUCAUGUUGACAUUUAUCAAUUCUCAUGGCACCAAACUGACACUAGGACCACAAAACUCAGCACCCAUCACCUACAACAUUCGUCACUUCAGAAUCCCAGGCUUACACACAGACACUGCAGGAUACACGCACCCACUUCACUCUGUCCUCACAGCCUUCAUCCUUUCUGCAGUGCACAGAGCCACAGGACCUGUGAGAGAAGACACGGCAGUAUUUAUGUGUAACAUUAGUGGAUGUUCAAUCUAUGGUUUAAUUAGGUCCAAAUUAAAAAAAAAAAGACUGAUAGUGAUCUAAAACAGAUGGUAGACAAAAUAAAUAGGUCAAUUUGGCAACCAAAUGAGCCAAGAAUCUGUCCAUAUGAUAAAGGAAAAGAUAAACACAUCACCGUGAAGUCAGCUAGAGCUUAGUGAUUGAGCUGUGGUUAGGAACUAAGACUAGUUUUACCACCCAUUGGCUGACUGAUUUUACGAUCUGGGUGGGAGGCCUUUUUUCAUUUUUCUUUUCUUUCUUUUUUUUUUUUUGCUUUGAGAUUUAGUGUCUAUUGGUUCUGAAGUAGAUAACACACUUAAUACAUACGUACAGAAUUUGAACAAUAAAUAAAUGAAUUAAAUAAAACACUGCAGGUGAUCCUCCAUUAAAUACUAAUGCUGUUCCUUUAAUUAAUAUUGAGCUUCAAAGCAAUUGUACCUUUUUCUUAAUUGACUUUAACAAUAUCCCCUUGGUAAAAUGGCAGGUAUCAUGCCUACUUCAUAAAUAAGAAAAGUGAGAAACAAGGAGGUUUAAAAGAUGAUAAAAAGCAACAAACACACUGCCACUGCCAAAGUUAGUCUCAACUUCUCAUGUGGCCUUAAAACGCUAAAAAGGAAAUCCCAACUUGAGCUGGCUCAGCAGAGAACUCUGAUAGGUAUUAACUGGCCAACUUUUCCAUGGUUAAUCCUAGGCUUUGGCUAGUUGGGAUUUCUCCUGUAGUUAUGAAUAUCAAGGUAAACAGGAAAUAAGCCAUGUAAAAAAUAGGAAAAAGAAAAAUCACACCAGAAAGCUGGGAACACUUUCUCUCCUAACUUUAAUUGGAUAUUAACAGGAAUCAACUUCCUAAUUAUUCAUAUACAGAUAAGAAAACUGAGAUUUGACCUAGGGAAGAGAAAAAUUUGUCUCGCAUAGAUAUUGAGUUUGUAAAAAGUUUUAAUGCACUCCAACCUUCCUGUGCAUUCAAACAGCAACAGUGCCUGAUUAUCUGGUCUCCUGGGAAAUGGCCAUAUCAACUCAUUUGAAUUUGCAUUUAACUUUCAACCAAUACCAACUACUACUGCUUAACAAAAUGUCCUUUUUGUGGAAAUUCAAGAUAUUUACUGAAAUUUUUUUAAGCAAAAGAUAUUUAGGGGACAUAAGAAAGAAAGUUCCCCCUCUCUCUACCUCUUGCAUUACUGAUUGACUAAAUUCUUCAUUGACGGUACUAACAUUUUUAGUAAUAUAUUGAUUCACAAGAGAUAAGCUUUCCCCAAUCAGUUGCACCAAAGAAGUGUUAUUCUUUGCACCUACUUUCUAAGUAUCUCAAACUGAUUGUUUCCUCUUUUUUUUUUCUUUAUUAACUUGAGUAUUUCUUAUUUACAUUCGAUUGUUAUUCCCUUUCCCAGUUUCCAGGCCAACAUCCCCUUAGCCCCUCCCCCUCCCCUUCUUUAUGGGUGUUCCCCUCCCCAUCCUCCCCCGAUUACCGCCCUCCCCCCAACAAUCACGUUCACUGGGGGUUCAGUCUUAGCAGGAGAGGGCCUUCCCCUUCCACUGGUGCUCUUACUAGGGUAUUCAUUGCUACCUAUGAGGUCAGAGUCCAGGGUCAGUCCAUGUAUAGUCUUUAGGUAGUGGCUUAGUCCCUGGAGCUCUGGUUGGUUGGCAUUGUUGUACAUAUGGGGUCUCGAGCCCCUUCAAGCUCUUCCAGUCUAUUAAGAGAGACACUGGCCAAGACUGACUACGAGAGCCUCUGUUCUGUUCUCUGAGAAUAGCCUAACAGGCAAGCAUUCAGAUGACUGAUGCCAAUCAGAGAACACUCAGCACAUUUGGUCUUCGCAGGUGGGAAGCAGACCGGGUUUCUUGUUACACCUUAAUGACUGGCAUGUAACGUAAGUGGUGCGUGCAUGACUGUGAAGGACAUGAUGUCAUGAUGUCAGUCCUUCCAGGACAGUGAUUUUUAUGCCAUCUCAGAAUCUGUAAGCUUGGCCAAGGUCUAUUCUUCCCGUUGUAAGGAAUAACCACAAAGGAAGUCUGGUAUGAAAACUGAGCCGAGGCAGAUUUCCCUUACAAGACAUCUGUCUCUUACAGAUCUAUAGCUUAGGUGAGAAAAAUGAUAUUUAUUGGGGUAAUAGCAGAACAUAGUCAAACCAGUGUGUUCGAGGCCAGCAAAUGACCUAACUCAACCUAGGUGGCUAGCACCGAAAGAAUGACAGCUGAAAUCCUCUGGUUUGACAUGCUCAUAUGCGCACACACACACACACACACACACACACACACACACACACACACAUCAAAGAUUUAAUAGAGUAUUUUAUACUGGGUGAAUGGCUCUUGUUUUUUUAUUCGUUCGUUUGUUUGUUUAAAAUCAAGAACAGACAUGUAAAAACUCUGUCAUGAGCAUUGUGAAUGAAGAGCAGAGAGAGCUGCUAACAUGGAGACGUGUGAGUGAGCCGCACUCAGAGCCACACUGCACAUGCCUGUCCAUGCAGGAGACAGAAACAGUCCUGGGAAACAAGUCAUACACGAAACAAUAAUCUAGUAAUAAUAGAAUGUAUUAAAGAAAAGUAAUUAUGUAAUUGGUGGUCUAAUGAGUCAGGGAUACAUUUGUAUACACAUAACUAUACAUUAGCCUUAUGGGUAUUAUAGUUACCACAGUAUUUACAUCUAUGUACUAUUAUAUGCACACGUAUUUAUGUUAUGUGCAUAUACAUAUAAUCUAUGUCUAAAUAAUAACAAAAAUUGCAGUGGCAACAAUGAUAACUAUAUCAUGAAGGACUAAGUUACUAUUAUUGUAAUUUUUAAAAUAUUGUCAAAUACAAGUAUCCUUAUCUGAAAUCAAAAUAUAUUAUAUUUAAUAUGGGAAGAUUAUUUUCCCAAGGUGAAAACCAAUGUAAAAUAUCCAUUAUGAAAGGAAAAUGAGGAAAAAAUAAAACGUUAGAACUAUUCAAAACUUCUUCCUUUCCCUCCUGCCAAAGGUUUCUGUUCUGUUCAGAAGAUGGGAACAUGGAAAUACAAAUGUGUAAAUAUUUCACCCAAGACUAGGAAAGAACGUAAUACACUAGCAGGCAAUAUUCAUAGCCUUAGUCAUUCUGCCCCAGGGAGUGUCUUUGAGGUUUCCUCAUUCAAUAGCACCAUACACAGAGGAUCUCACGUACCAGAUACAUUAUUUCUGUAGGCAGUCUAUUGCCCAAGAGAAGUAGUUCUUCUAAAUAUCCAGAUGUUGGGGUUAUGACAAAGAAUAUACAAUGUAUUUCUAAAUUGGCAUAUGCAAUUACAAGGUCUUUAAAAUGUGGAAGUAAUUAGAUUUCUAUUAUGUUUUUAUCUUUUCGUUACUCUUUGGACAGUUUGUCUAAUCUAUGCAGGGCUGUGCUAAAAAUAUGACAUGGCUUCUCAAGAAAGGGAGGUUCACAGGGAGGCCCCAAAUCACAAGAAGACGGGACAUGAAGAGUCACUCAGUCAUGUCCCAAGAAUCUGUGCUUCAGGGCCUGAUGAUACUCAGUUACACAGCACUGUUGACGCUGGAAGAUCCUGCUGUGGGAACUUGAAGAGUUGUUUGUGGGAACGUCAGCUUCUAUACUUCCCGCUGUGUGUACACGGUUUAGCGAUAUUUAUUGGUGUAGCAAUAUGAAUGGCGACAGCUAGAGAACACGUCAAGGGCUCUCUGUUUGACCACGGUCUUCAGCGGUCAAUUGGUCGCUCUUGUUUUGCUAAGCAUGAUGGGAAGCAUGAACGUCCACCUUCAACCAAGCGGGACUUUUGCUCAGUACCCUCCAUCCAGUUGUGCUGUGAAACAGAGGGGUUGGGGAUUUAGCUCAGUGGUCGAGUGCUUGCCUAGCAAGCGCAAGGCCCUGGAUUUGGUCCCCAGCUCCGGAAAAAAAAGAAAAGAAAAGAAAAACAGUAACAACACAGAAAGCCUUAAAUUCAGAUAUGCCGUGAGUCAGAUUCACACAGUCUGCCCUCCAGCCACUGCUCUACUCAUUCUCAGAGUCUGUCACAGGCUUACUAAACAUGGGUGAGGUUACCAAGGAUAUAGCACUAAGAGCAGAAUCUCUGCUCUCCUGAAAUUUAGACUAGGUGAGGGAGAAAAACAAUAAUAAAUUAAGCAAAAUAUACACAAUGCUUAAUAGCAAAUGCGCCAGGCGGGGAUUGAAGCCAAGAGUCAGGUGGUUGGCACUGGGAGGGCCUGCAAUGUAAUAGUGGUUUCUGGUGAAUUCGGCAUCACACAUAGACACACUGGUCACACUCAGUGACCCAAAGCUGCGUGUCACAAGUAGCUGUAAAUACACAUAGACAGAUGUGCUUGAGUCUGGAGGAACCAUGUCUGGGCUUUCUCUAUCGCUUAAACGUUUCCUAUGGAGACAAACAGCAAAUCAGCCCAGAGAGGACAACACCAAAGGCAAACCAAAGAAAUGAUUUCUCCCGAGGCUGGUGAGUCACAAGAUGCCUGAGAUGGCUUCCAGGGACACAGGCAGGCAGUUUCAGGAGCACGGCCAAGGGUUAACUUACAGGAGUAUGGUGGGUAACUUAUGAUCCGGUCUUUACUUAAUCUGCUUCCCUCAUUUUGGAGUGAAAAUGUUGACAACUCUCGUAGGUUGGAAUUAUGUAGCCUAUGUUUUUAUCUUGCAGGGGCUCCCAGGAUAAAUAUGACCUGUUGUACAGUAUUCGAACAGUUAAGGUUUUGAGUAUUCAAAGGGACGGACUACAGGACCUAAGGGCGGAAUGUAACAGUUUAAAGGGGUGUGUUUGUCUGUCACGUUGACAGAUGGCGGAAUCACAAUGACUAAUCUUCAUUGUCAGCUUGAACUGACAGAAAGCCCUACAGCUGUGGUAGGAAGGGGCUCAUCGUUAAGUACCUAAAGUCUUGCGGAGACACUCCUUGGGCUCUGCUUCCACCAGCCUUCACAGAUGAUGUUCCCAUUCCCUGUCCAGGGUCUUGUGAAUUCUUCUUGCUCUUUUUUUGUUAGCCUAUACCUUAUCUCAAUGUUCCCAGAUUCUAUUUCUUUACUUUGUCUACAUGGACUAUUUAAAAUAUGGUAACAUGUCCCUCUGGUUAUCAAGCCCACAGAAAACAUAACUGGAAAUGUUUUUAGCCUUCCUAUGAUCUUUCACAUAUAUCCAUGAAAUGAUAGCUAUUGAUAUCAGGCUGAUUUCAGCCCAGGGUUGUAGAAACAGCAUUAAGAAAGCCGUAUGGAUUAGCUCUUACCAGUCUGGGCCAUACAGACGAUCCGGAUCUACCCAUUCUGAAUGGAAGCACCAAGGACUAGGGAAGGGAACUUGCAAAAAGUCACACAUUAGUAGCUGGCUUCCUACCCGAUUGUCUCCUGUGUCCGACGAUGCCAUGGAACGUCUGAACAGAUUGUCCUGGGAGAACCUUUUAGGGGAUGAGAGCAUACAAGUUCACAGUGAGGACUGUUCGGAUGUCCUGAUGCUCUUCUGGCACAGUGAUAGGGAUACAGUAAGGGUGGCUCCUGGGAGAAGGGGCGAGCCAUGAUGAGGCAAAGAAGUCUGUCGAUAAACAGCCUUAUGGAAGACACAACCAUGCAGAUCCCAUACCUGGAGCUGAAUCUUAUUUGGAAAGAUGGGAAUUCGAUGCAGGAGAAUAAUAUGAAGAUUAGCCAAGCAGUUGGCAGCUUUCUGCAUCCUGCCCUUACACAGAAACUUGAUUAUAAAUUGCACAGUGAAGGGUCUUAAUCUUCAAUACUCUGAAUUAUAUAGCACACACACACAUACACACACACGUACACACACACAUACAGAUACACACACAUACAGAUACACACAUAUACACACAUACACACAUAUACAGAUACAUACACACACAUACACACACAUACACACACACAUACAGAUACACACACAUACAGAUACACACAUAUACACACAUACACACACACGUACACACACACAUACAGAUACACACACACAUACAGAUACACACACAUACACAGACACACACAGAUACACACACACACACACACACACACACACACAGAUCCGAUUCACUAAAGCACACCUGAGGAUUAAUUUGCUCUCUUGGAGCCCGCUCUACCUUGGCUUCACUUUGGCCUCUGUCCCUCUUUGCCAUUCCAGUAAUAUGAAACUGGCACGUUCCAGAAAGAUCCACUUUUAGUAAUAACUGUGAUCUGAUCUUAUAUUCUUUUUUUUUUCUUUUUCUUUUUUUCUGAGCUGGGGACCGAACCCAGGGCCUUGUGCUUGCUAGACAAGUGCUCUACCACUGAGCUAAAGCCCCAACCCCCUGAUCUUAUAUUCUUAUAGACGCGAAAACAAUUCAAUAGUUGCAUAUGCAUUUAGCUUGUUUGAUCUUUAAAAAGUGAAUAAUAGGGAUUUUCUCUCUUUCUUCCUUUCUUUCUUUCUUUUUGCCCUUGGGAGACCAACUUCCAGGCUGUCCCUCAGGGUAUUAUUACGACCAGGUCACCUCUAAGAUUAUGUCACAUUAUGAGGUGCUUUAUGGGUGGAGAUUCUAUUAUUAUUAUUCUGUUGUUAUUCUCUUGUUUUCUCCCCCUUAACAAUUCUUUUUUCUAGUGAAAAAAAUGCCAGCAAAGCAUUGCUUUAAAUGCACAAAGUAAACAUCGGUGACCAGUUACAUAUUCUGACAGUCAUGUCUGUGAGGGAAGUCAGAGGUCUCCCAAAGCUCUCCUGCUGUGCUUGGAAUUGUCCUCACUUGAAAGCACUGUGUGGCAUCGUGGGCCAUUUCACUUUGGUGAUGAACAAAGCUGAAUUUUCCAGAACUGAAUGCAAAGCAUUCUCGACCAUCGCCUUCCUUAGCAACCAAUCUGCCCGUACUCCCACUCGUUCAUUUGCAGCCUACAGAACGGGAUUUAGAGGAAGGUAGUCUAUGCCUGUGGGACAGAUCUCUCCUGGUAAAUGAUGUUCAAUAAUAGAGAUGGGCUCUUUUUCUGUGAAGCUGCAACUUUCUACUCGCUCUACUGCCGUGAGUCCUCCUCAGCUACCUCACACAUCUGCGUGCAGUGUUGACAGUUAUGGCUGACGUCGAGGGAGAGAACCAGGGUUGGACAAUACGUGUUUACUGAGGUGACUUUUUUGAUGUUUAUGUAGUUUAGAAGCUCUAAUGGUAAACAAUAAAUUACAUCUUGAAGUACUGU